CGUAGUUCUGAAAGAAUGUCGAUUAAGUAAAAGGACUUCACAAGCGUCAAGCAAGUUGCAUCUCACGACUGAUUACUUCACGGAACCCUAAUCGGCGACUUGUUGUAUCUCGAUCUUCAAUUUAUGAUCGAUAAAUACUCGAAUUCAAGCAAAUUACAGUUGUAAUUUAUUCGUAUCAGAUUUCAAUUUCCAGUUUACCGAACUCAAUUUCCAAUGUAUAGACGUUUGAUGAUGACCGACGUGAUGAGGGCCGCUGAUGCUGCGGCGAGUCUUCGGUCGUACUCCGGACCUUCCUCCCUUGCCAACCUCCCUCUUGUUUCUGCCUUUCUCGCCUGUGCUGUCGCUCAGUUUCUCAAGCCCUUCACUACCUGGUUAAAGGAGAAUAAAUGGGAUUCUAGAAGGAUGCUUAGCUCAGGUGGAAUGCCAUCAUCACAUUCUGCAACUGUUACUGCUCUUGCCACUGCAAUUGGUUUACAAGAUGGAGCUGGGGGGCCAGCAUUCGCCAUCGCAUUGGUCUUGGCCUGUGUUGUAUGUACUUUUUAAAUGAGGUAAUGUAUGAUGCUACUGGCAUCAGACUUCAUGCUGGUCGACAAGCUGAAUUAUUGAAUCAAAUUGUGUGUGAAUUGCCUCCGGAGCAUCCUGUUGCUAAUGUUAAACCUCUUCGAGAUUCACUUGGUCACACCCCACUUCAGGUUGCUAGUGGUGCUUUGCUGGGAUGUCUGGUAGCAUUGCUCAUGGGAAGCUCAAGUUAAAGAUUGGCAAUUGAUAUACCAAACUGUUACGAGCUUUUUAGAUUUCGAUGAAGACAACAAAAUUGCACAUAAUCUCCCAAAAGAAAACAUGAAUUCUGAUUGCUUGAGAAGACUGUUCUUGAUUUUUUCUACUUCUAUGUAGGGUGUUGUGUUGAUAAAGUCCUCCAUCUCUGUAUAAGAUUAUAAAACAUUUCCUGGACACUGGAUCGUAUUGUGUCACUAAUAUUCUUAUUUGAAUGUUAUCCGUCACCCACUUUUGCUGUUUGAUUU